AUUGAACGCUGGCGGCAUGCCUUACACAUGCAAGUCGAACGGCAGCACGGGAGCAAUCCUGGUGGCGAGUGGCGGACGGGUGAGUAAAGUAUCGGAACGUGCCCAGUCGUGGGGGAUAACGUAGCGAAAGUUACGCUAAUACCGCAUACGAUCUAUGGAUGAAAGCGGGGGAUCGCAAGACCUCGCGCGAUUGGAGCGGCCGAUAUCAGAUUAGGUAGUUGGUGGGGUAAAGGCUCACCAAGCCGACGAUCCGUAGGUGGUCUGAGAGGACGACCAGCCACACUGGGACUGAGACACGGCCCAGACUUCUACGGGAGGAAGCAGUGGGGAAUUUUGGACAAUGGGCGCAAGCCUGAUCCAGCCAUGCCGCGUGCAGGAUGAAGGCCUUCGGGUUGUAAACUGCUUUUGUACGGAACGAAAAGGUUUGACUUAAUACGUUGGACUCAUGACGGUACCGUAAGAAUAAGCACCGGCUAACUACGUGCCAGCAGCCGCGGUAACAC
rnacentral:rRNA from 1 species